UACGUAGGGGGCAAGCGUUGUCCGGAAUCAUUGGGCGUAAAGCGCGUGUAGGCGGUUCGGUAAGUCUGCUGUGAAAGUCCAGGGCUCAACCCUGGGAUGCCGGUGGAUACUGUCGGACUAGAGUACGGAAGAGGCGAGUGGAAUUCCCGGUGUAGCGGUGAAAUGCGCAGAUAUCGGGAGGAACACCAAUGGCGAAGGCAGCUCGCUGGGACGGUACUGACGCUGAGGAGCGAAAGCGUGGGGAGCGAACAGG
rnacentral:rRNA from 1 species